rnacentral:lncRNA from 1 species
CAGUUUGAUUUGAAGUUUGUAUAAACUCUCUUAUAGCAUGUUUGGUUUCACGGGUGGAAUGAUCCGGAUUCCCCUCUAGUUAGAAGCCAUAAGUUUUUGUAGUUUGUAAGUAAUCAUAUAUAAAUUAUGUCAAAUUGUGAAGCCAAACAGACAUUUAGUGAAGGCAGGUAUUCAGAGAAAAGUUCAAUGUUUAUAUAUAGAAAGAUCAAAAUGAAAAGAAUAUCUGUUUACAAUAAGUUUUAUUAAUAUAAAACUCUUUUUAUUCCUCGGA